CUCCCAAGCAUGCCCCCCACAAAACUACCCCCUGCGGCCCUGCACCCUCUUCUCCUCUUGUGCUGGAAUCAGCCAGUAUACAGGGCCACAUCAGCUGAAAUUAGACUGUAUGAGCCUUAUCAAACAUUACAGCCAGUACCACAACUGUCCUACACUAGUGGAUGGAUCAGGUAACAUCAUAUCAGUCCUCCCAUUUUCCGUUACAAAUUGGCCAAUAUUUAAAAACAAGCACUCGACUACAAGCUUCACUUGCCUGUGCAGAUUAUAUAAAUAGUUGAGAAAACACAUAAAACACAAUCAUUCAUUUCAUUACCCAAUCCCAUUGCCAUCAACCACAUUAUCCGUAAAGCAUUGCAUGCCCAAUGAAUCAUGCAGUUGUUAUUCAUGACCAGGUCAAAUUUAAUAAAGAGAUGCCCAAUGGUUCAACGGUCAAGUUAGUAGGAAAAACGGGAAUCAUGCUCAACACUAUUACAUAAAAUGUUAACAGCAAACACUGGAUCCUUCGCUUCUCUGUGGAUUUGAAUGCCAUGUUAUUCCCUUGUUGAAAGAUGAUAUAAGUUAAAUGUCCUCUAAUAGUUGCAUACAUGUAGCAAGGAAAAACCAAACAGAAGACAUCACAGAUAUUGUUUCAACAUUCAAUCAUAAAUGUAAACUGCUUCAUGAAAUUGAUCCUUAAGGUUCUGUUGACUGUUAUUAGAAUCUUACAAUUCUCAAUUUGAAUCUUACAAUUCAAUUCGAUUCCCCAUCCUAGUGAUUUGAAUCUAUGAGGUGAAAAUGUACCUGAAUUGCAUAAUUCUCGAUUUGAAUCGCACGAUUCUUGACUCCAUUCCCCAUCCCAGAGAUUUGAAUAUAUAGGGUAAAUAACAAAUGCACCUAAUUGUGACUAAAACGAAAGAAUCCAUAAUGAAUCGGAUGAAUUGAUAUGAAUCAACCGAUUAUUCACACAAUUUGGUCGAUUCUUUUUCUAUAGGUUUGUUAGACCCUAUAGCUUAAAUAUUUAAGAUUUCACUUCAUUUUUGCUAUGAAAAGUGCACAUUUCCUUAGCUAUUUUUCUUUCCACCAGCCAUUUUCCCCUCUCCCUCUUCUUUCCU
rnacentral:misc_RNA from 1 species